UGAAAAACCUAGUAUAAAAGUCCGUGAAGUCUUCUUAACGUUAUUAUUUAUUGAAGAAAUUCAAUUUUCUGAUACUACACACAAAGAAAAAAAAAUGAAAGCAAUCGUCAGAACUGUCGUUGUUGUCGCUGCUGCUUGCUAUUUCUUCGUUGCUGCCAACGCCAACCCAGUAGGCCUGUUGGGUAACGUCAUAUGUCAGUGUAUUAUGGCACCAUGCAUUUGCUAAUCGUGAAGAGUUUUGUUGACAUGUCGUCAAGGCGACUGACCAGUGGUUGUUCCUGUCAUACUUUUUGUAUGUUUUCUAUAACAAGCGACAUGGCUAUGUCAUACAUAUCGUGUCAUUGUUUACAUUUAUAGAGGUUGUACUGAGACCAAAUAAAGUUCAAAGGUCAACACGU